UAUAUGAAGUCAAUGAAAAAUCUUAAAGUUUUACAAAGAAUAAUAAAUAGAAGUUAUUGAAUGUUGGUGGCUCAUCAUGCAGUGCAUUUGAGAAGGGCAUGCUCUCAAA